rnacentral:rRNA from 1 species
UGGGGAUGACGUCAAAUCAUCAUGCCCCUUAUGUUCUGGGCUACACACGUGCUACAAUGGCCGGUACAGACGGACGCAAAGCCGCGAGGUGGAGCAAAUCCUAAAAAAGCCGGUCUCAGUUCGGAUUGCAGGCUGCAAUUCGCCUGCAUGAAGUCGGAAUCGCUAGUAAUCGCAGGUCAGCAUACUGCGGUGAAUACGUUCCCGGGCCUU